GACGAACGCUGGCGGCGUGCCUAAUACAUGCAAGUCGAACGCUGAAGGAGGAGCUUGCUUCUCUGGAUGAGUUGCGAACGGGUGAGUAACGCGUAGGUAACCUGCCUGGUAGCGGGGGAUAACUAUUGGAAACGAUAGCUAAUACCGCAUAAUAGUAGAUGUUGCAUGACAUUUGCUUAAAAGGUGCAAUUGCAUCACUACCAGAUGGACCUGCGUUGUAUUAGCUAGUUGGUGGGGUAACGGCUCACCAAGGCGACGAUACAUAGCCGACCUGAGAGGGUGAUCGGCCACACUGGGACUGAGACACGGCCCAGACUCCUACGGGAGGCAGCAGUAGGGAAUCUUCGGCAAGGGACGGAAGUCUGACCGAGCAACGCCGCGUGAGUGAAGAAGGUUUUCGGAUCGUAAAGCUCUGUUGUAAGAGAAGAACGAGUGUGAGAGUGGAAAGUUCACACUGUGACGGUAGCUUACCAGAAAGGGACGGCUAACUACGUG
rnacentral:rRNA from 1 species